GCGGUGGAGUAUGUGGUUUAAUUCGACGCAACGCGCAGAACCUUACCUAGACUUGACAUCCCGGGAUUUUCUGGAAACAGAGAAGUGCUUUAGCAAUAAGAACCCGGUGACAGGUGCUGCAUGGCUGUCGUCAGCUCGUGUCGUGAGAUGUUGGGUUAAGUCCCGCAACGAGCGCAACCCUCGCCUUUAGUUGCCAGCAUUCAGUUGGGCACUCUAGAGGGACUGCCGGUGUCAAACCGGAGGAAGGUGGGGAUGACGUCAAGUCCUCAUGGCCUUUAUGUCUAGGGCUACACACGUACUACAAUGGUUGGUACAACGAGUUGCGAGUCGGUGACGGCGAGCUAAUCUCUUAAAGCCAAUCUCAGUUCGGAUUGUAGGCUGCAACUCGCCUACAUGAAGUCGGAAUCGCUAGUAAUCGCGGAUCAGCACGCCGCGGUGAAUACGUUCCCGGGCCUU
rnacentral:rRNA from 1 species